UACGUAGGGCGCAAGCGUUAUCCGGAAUUAUUGGGCGUAAAGAGCUCGUAGGCGGUGUGUCGCGUCGGCCGUGAAAACCUGCAGCUUAACUGUGGGCUUGCGGUCGAUACGGGCAGGCUCGAGUUCGGUAGGGGAGACUGGAAUUCCUGGUGUAGCGGUGAAAUGCGCAGAUAUCAGGAGGAACACCGGUGGCGAAGGCGGGUCUCUGGGCCGAUACUGACGCUGAGGAGCGAAAGCGUGGGGAGCGAACAGG
rnacentral:rRNA from 1 species